rnacentral:rRNA from 1 species
AUUGAACGCUGGCGGCAGGCUUAACACAUGCAAGUCGAGCGGAGAUGAGGUGCUUGCACCUUAUCUUAGCGGAGGACGGGUGAGUAAUGCUUAGGAAUCUGCCUAUUAGUGGGGGACAACAUUCCGAAAGGAAUGCUAAUACCGCAUACGUCCUACGGAAGAAAGCAGGGGAUCUUCGGACCUUGAGCUCAUAGAUGAGCCUAAGUCGGGUUAGCUAGUUGGUGGGGUAAAGGCCUACCAAGGCGACGAUCUGUAGCGGGUCUGAGAGGAUGAUCCGCCACACUGGGGCUGAGACACGGCCCAGACUCCUACGGGAGGCAGCAGUGGGGAAUAUUGGACAAUGGGGGGAACCCUGAUCCAGCCAUGCCGCGUGUGUGAAGAAGGCCUUAUGGUUGUAAAGCACUUUAAGCGAGGAGGAGGCUACUGAGACUAAUACUCUUGGAUAGUGGACGUUACUCGCAGAAUAAGCACCGGCUAACUCUGUGCCAGCCGCCGCAGUAAAAC